ensembl:snoRNA Gm25715 predicted gene, 25715
UCUGCCCUUAAAAGGCAUUGCAGGUAUGGCUACUGUCAUGGUGUCAGAUGUCAGAGAAGAGCAAAGGUAUGUCUACCCUAUGUGUUCUGACCUAUGACCAUCUGAAUGAGUAGUAGCCUAACAUU